UACGUAGGGUGCAAGCGUUGUCCGGAAUUAUUGGGCGUAAAGAGCUCGUAGGCGGUCUGUCGCGUCGGAUGUGAAAACCCAGGGCUCAACCCCGGGCCUGCAUUCGAUACGGGCAGACUAGAGUUCGGUAGGGGAGACUGGAAUUCCUGGUGUAGCGGUGAAAUGCGCAGAUAUCAGGAGGAACACCGGUGGCGAAGGCGGGUCUCUGGGCCGAAACUGACGCUGAGGAGCGAAAGCGUGGGGAGCGAACAGG
rnacentral:rRNA from 1 species